rnacentral:rRNA from 1 species
UACGAAGGGGGCUAGCGUUGUUCGGAAUUACUGGGCGUAAAGCGCACGUAGGCGGACAUUUAAGUUGGAGGUGAAAGCCUUGGGCUCAACCCAAGAAUUGCCUUUGAUACUGGAUGUCUCGAGACCGGGAGAGGUGAGUGGAAUUCCGAGUGUAGAGGCGAAAUUCGUAGAUAUUCGGAAGAACACCAGUGGCGAAGGCGGACUCACUGGCCCGGUUCUGACGCUGAGGUGCGAAAGCGUGGGGAGCAAACGG